UGAGCAAUCUGUCCUUCACUUCGGGAUAACUCCGGGAAACCGGUGCUAAUAUCGAAUACGACCAUCGAUGGCAUCGUCUGGUGGUGGAAAGUUCCGGCGGUGAAGGAUGAGCUCGCGGCCUAUCAGCUUGUUGGUGGGGUAAUGGCUUACCAAGGCGACGACGGGUAGCCGGCCUGAGAGGGUGACCGGCCACACUGGGACUGAGACACGGCCCAGACUCCUACGGGAG
rnacentral:rRNA from 1 species